UACGGAAGGCAGCAGUGGGGAAUAUUGCACAAUGGGCGCAAGCCUGAUGCAGCCAUGCCGCGUGUAUGAAGAAGGCCUUAGGGUUGUAAAGUACUUUCAUCGGGGAGGAAAAACAAAACUAAUAAUUUUAUUUUCUUGACGUUACCCGAAAAAGAAGCACCGGCUAACUCCGUGCCAGCAGCCGCGGUAAUACGGAGGGUGCUAGCGUUAAUCAGAAUUACUGGGCGUAAAGAGCACGUAGGUGGUUUUUUUAAGUUCAGAUGUGAAAUCCCUGGGCUUAACCUAGGAACUGCAUUUUGAAACUGAAAUACUAGAGUAUCGUAGAGGGAGGUAGAAUUCUAGGUGUAGCGGUGAAAUGCGUAGAUAUCUGGAGGAAUACCUGUGGCGAAAGCGGCCUCCUAAACGAAUACUGACACUGAGGUGCGAAAGCGUGGGGAGCAAACAGGGAUUAGAUACC
rnacentral:rRNA from 1 species